GCUCGCGCGUAAAGCCGAAGGGAGCAGAUAGGGCGAGUGACGAGUCGCUCGACGCUAGGAGCAGGUGCAGAGUCUCCUGCCAUGUUCGGUCCACUCCCCAUGUUAGUCAACAUCAAAAGGAAACAAGAGGGACAGCUAGUGGGAUGACCAAACUACCCGGACAGCUCCCAGCUCAGCAUCUCCGCUACAUGAAACAUAAACAGCACCAUCUCCCUUGAAGUCAAACUGAAAUCAGCACCUGGGUGAAGACCAACUGGCUAAAGCUGAAACCAGGUGCCACAUUGACUUUAUUUGAGAGGAUCAGAACUGCCAACUGUUAUUGGAAGUUUCUGAAAGACCUGAGAUUAAUGCAUCAGAGGAGGCCAAUGAGAGAGAAGGAUGCUAGUGUGAGAAUGGAUCAAAAGUAUGGGGAAGGCUCAUCUCCAAAAGUGUGUGGCUAUUACAACUUGGGGCAGAAGCUGUUGCAUAUCUCUCUCCACAUUGAGGGAGAGGGUGAAUUUCAUGAGCUUAUGCUGUACAGGUCUCUGUGCAACACAAGAUGGAAUAAUUUUGGGUUUACCCUCCAGAGGGGUGUGUGCCUGAGAAGCUGAUCCAUCUGUUCUAUUCUCUCUCCUAUCUCUGCAGAGUUGACUCAUGCUGCUGUACUCCGAGAAUGGCUGAAAUACAGGUUCACAGGCAGGCAAUCUGCUGUGGUAGAAAGAACUAUUUAUAUCCCCCUUUAAAAUUGGGCUCUCCAGAGCCUGUGGAUUCUUUACCAAGGGUCGGGGUGGAGUCUCUGUCAGACAAUUGUUAAAUCAAGAUUGAUGUUUUGCUAAAACCUCUGCUCUAGGAAUUAUUUUGGGGCAGUCUCUGGCCUUUGUUAUGCAGGAGGUCAGCCUAGAUGAUCACAAUGGUCCCUUCUGGCCUGGGAAUCUAUUAAUCUAACUAUACUCAGACUCCUCAACACCUCAUCCAAACCCUGAGUCCACAAGGCCCAUCCCUGGCAGGUAGGUCAGCAUGCUGAUGGGGUACAUUGCUGGAGCCUGUUGGGGGUAAAGGAAGGAGAGGUACUGAAUGGUCCCUAUAGUUCUCAGUGGUCUGAAUCACUAGAGACAUCAGCUGGUGCAACACAUGAAGGACUUGAACAAGCUUAUUCCUGCUUGGGAAUGAUCAGUGAGAAUCACCACAGCCGGGCAGUUAGAGGAACUGCACUGGCCAAAAUAUAAAUUCAGAGGCACGCCUCUGAACUUGUUUUUCUUACUGCUAUUUAACAAUUUGUAGGUACUCAAAAUAAAUUACCCUCACCUUG